UACGUAGGGGGCAAGCGUUGUCCGGAUUUAUUGGGCGUAAAGAGCGUGUAGGCGGUCAGGUAGGUCCGUUGUGAAAACUCGAGGCUCAACCUCGAGACGCCGAUGGAAACCAUCUGACUAGAGUCCGGAAGAGGAGAGUGGAAUUCCUGGUGUAGCGGUGAAAUGCGCAGAUAUCAGGAAGAACACCCGUGGCGAAGGCGGCUCCUCUGGGACGGUACUGGACGCUGAGACGCGAAAGCGUGGGGAGCGAACAGG
rnacentral:rRNA from 1 species